rnacentral:rRNA from 1 species
UUCGGACCAAACGGGGCUUUUAGCUCCGGCGCAAAGAGAGGCCCAAGUGAGAUUAGCUAGUUGGUAAGGUAACGGCUUACCAAGGCGACGAUCUCUAGCUGUUCUGAGAGGAAGAUCAGCCACACUGGGACUGAGACACGGCCCAGACUCCUACGGGAGGCAGCAGUGGGGAAUAUUGCACAAUGGGGGAAACCCUGAUGCAGCCAUGCCGCGUGUGUGAAGAAGGCCUUCGGGUUGUAAAGCACUUUCAGUUGUGAGGAAAAGUUAGUAGUUAAUACCUGCUAGCCGUGACGUUAACAACAGAAGAAGCACCGGCUAACUCCGUGCCAGCAGCCGCGGUAAUACGGAGGGUGCGAGCGUUAAUCGGAAUUACUGGGCGUAAAGCGCACGCAGGCGGUUUGUUAAGCUAGAUGUGAAAGCCCCGGGCUCAACCUGGGAUGGUCAUUUAGAACUGGCAGACUAGAGUCUUGGAGAGGGGAGUGGAAUUCCAGGUGUAGCGGUGAAAUGCGUAGAUAUCUGGAGGAACAUCAGUGGCGAAGGCGACUCCCUGGCCAAAGACUGACGCUCAUGUGCGAAAGUGUGGGUAGCGAACAGGAUUAGAUACCCUGGUAGUCCACACCGUAAACGCUGUCUACUAGCUGUGUGUGCCUUUAAGGCGUGCGUAGCGAAGCUAACGCGCUAAG